AACGCGAAGAACCUUACCUAGACUUGACAUGUAGUGGACAGAUACAGAAAUGUAUCCUUUCGCAAGGACUGCUACACAGGUGCUGCAUGGCUGUCGUCAGCUCGUGCCGUGAGGUGUUGGGUUAAGUCCCGCAACGAGCGCAACCCUUGUCAUUAGUUGCCAUCACGUUAUGGUGGGCACUCUAAUGAGACUGCCUGGGUUAACCAGGAGGAAGGUGAGGAUGACGUCAAGUCCGCAUGGCCCUUACGUCUAGGGCUACACACGUGCUACAAUGGUCGGUACAAUAGGUAGCAAGACCGAAAGGUGGAGCAAAUCCAAUAAAACCGGCCCCAGUUCGGAUUGAGGUCUGCAAUUCGACCUCAUGAAGUUGGAAUCGCUAGUAAUGGCGCGUCAGCUACAGCGCCGUGAAUACGUUCCCGGGCCUUGUACACACCGCGCAUA
rnacentral:rRNA from 1 species